GACGAACGCUGGCGGCGUGCUUAACACAUGCAAGUCGAACGGAAAGGCCCCUUUCGGGGUCCUCGAGUGGCGAACGGGUGCGUAACACGUGAGUAACCUGCCCUUGCCUUCGGGAUAACUUCAGGAAACUGGGGCUAAUACCGGAUAGGAAUCCUUUCUGCAUGGUGGGGGUUGGAAAGCUUCGGCGGUUUUGGAUGGACUUGCUGCUUAUCAGCUUGUCGGGGGGGUAGUGGCUUACCAAGGCUUCUACGGGUAGCCGGCCUGAGUGGGCGACCGGCCACAUUGGGACUGAGGUGCGGCCCAGACUCCUACGGGAGGCAGCAGUGGGAAAUAUUGCACAAUGGGCGGAGGCCUGAUGCAGAAACGCCGCGGGCGGGAUGACGGCCUUAGGGUUGUAGACCGCUUUCGGCAGGAGCGAUGCUUGUGGUGACGGUACCUGAAGAAGAAGCACCGGCUAACUACGUG
rnacentral:rRNA from 1 species